rnacentral:lncRNA from 1 species
UCCAAUCAGGUGUAAUCUGCUUUAACUUAACUUCCAACUCCGCGUAGCUGAAAGGGCUAGCGGGAGCGGCAUUGUCAGCAGAUUCCUCCUCAGGUGAGGAAGGAGAGGGUAACUCUUGUCCCGGAAUCGGAACCCCCAUAUCUUCGUCCGGACACAUAGGUCCGGAUGCAUCCCCAGCCGGAAUUAUUGCCGGAGCGGCUGAGGUCUCAGUAGCCAUCUCCACCUCGCCUCCAUCCGGAUGAGCGUCAUGGGCAGAAGCGCAGCUAAUUUCAAUCUCUUGCUGCAGCUCUUGAAGCCGCUCAAAGAGUCCGGACUGUAGAUCGC